rnacentral:rRNA from 1 species
GCAGGCUUAACACAUGCAAGUCGAGGGGUAACAUUGUGCUUGCACAGAUGACGACCGGCGCACGGGUGCGUAACGCGUAUAGAACCUACCUUUUACAGAGGAAUAGCCUUUAGAAAUGAAGAUUAAUGCCUCAUAGUAUUGUAGACUGGCAUCAGUUUAUAAUUAAAGAUUUAUCGGUAAAAGAUGGCUAUGCGUCCUAUUAGUUAGUUGGUAAGGUAACGGCUUACCAAGACAGCGAUAGGUAGGGGUCCUGAGAGGGAGAUCCCCCACACUGGUACUGAGACACGGACCAGACUCCUACGGGAGGCAGCAGUGAGGAAUAUUGGACAAUGGAGGAGACUCUGAUCCAGCCAUGCCGCGUGUAGGAAGAAUGCCCUAUGGGUUGUAAACUACUUUUAUACAGGAAGAAACACUGGUAUGUAUACCAGCUUGACGGUACUGUAAGAAUAAGGACC